CANAGAGUUUGAUUAUGGCUCAGAACGAACGCUGGCGGCGUGGAUAAGACAUGCAAGUCGAGCGAGAUUUUUUCUUGUAGCAAUACAGGGAAAAGUCUAGCGGCGAACGGGUGCUUAACACGUGGGCAACCUGCCAGGAAGUGGGGGAUAGCUCGCCGAAAGGCGAAUUAAUACCGCAUGUGAUCAGAGUGGACAUCCAUUCGAAAUCAAAGUCGGGGCAACCUGACGCUUCUUGAGGGGCCCGCGGCCUAUCAGCUAGUUGGUGAGGUAACGGCCCACCAAGGCUUAGACGGGUAGCUGGUCUGAGAGGACGACCAGCCACACUGGGACUGAGACACGGCCCAGACACCUACGGGUGGCAGCAGUCGAGAAUUUUUCUCAAUGGGGGAAACCCUGAAGGAGCGACGCCGCGUGGAGGAUGAAGGUCUUCGGAUUGUAAACUCCUGUCAUUGGGGAACAAUGCGCAAAUAUUAACUGUAUUUGCGUUGAUAGUACCCGAAGAGGAAGGGACGGCUAACUCUGUGCCAGCAGCCGCGGUAAUACAGAGGUCUCAAGCGUUGUUCGGAUUCAUUGGGCGUAAAGGGUGCGUAGGCGGCGCGGUAAGUCGGGUGUGAAAUCUCGGAGCUUAACUCCGAAACUGCAUUCGAUACUGCCGUGCUUGAGGACUGGAGAGGAGACUGGAAUUUACGGUGUAGCGGUGAAAUGCGUAGAUAUCGUAAGGAAGACCAGUGGCGAAGGCGGGUCUCUGGACAGUUCCUGACGCUG
rnacentral:rRNA from 1 species